rnacentral:misc_RNA from 1 species
AGGGUCGUCACCUUUGAAGAGGUAUAAUUCGGUGGUUGAAACGCAACCACACAGCCUCCCGCCACAAAGUGGACAAUCGCCAACAGAACGUCAGCAUCGCAAUCAUCUGAUUCGACGUUACACAACGUCUUGAAUCAAUCAAUCACUCAAGAUCCUCUGGACCAAAAGGAACUGAUUCUCUCCCAAGACGACAACGGUCGUACUCAUCCGACGGAAGACACCGCUUCAACUCCAGCGCCGAUCCCGUCGCAUACCACGCGGAGCUCACCGCGUGACAUUCACAACAUAUCAACUACCCGCGAUCUGACAACCACGUUCGCAGCGUCAGCAUCGCAAC